rnacentral:rRNA from 1 species
UUCCUGUACUUGGUGUUACUGCGAAGGGGGGACGGAGAAGGCUAUGUCGGCCGGGCGACGGUUGUCCCGGUUUAAGCGUGUAGGCUGACUUUCCAGGCAAAUCCGGAAAGUUAAGGCUGAGGCGUGAUGACGAGGCACUACGGUGCUGAAGUGACAAAUGCCCUGCUUCCAGGAAAAGCCUCUAAGCAUCAGGUAACAUCAAAUCGUACCCCAAACCGACACAGGUGGUCAGGUAGAGAAUACCAAGGCGCUUGAGAGAACUCGGGUGAAGGAACUAGGCAAAAUGGUGCCGUAACUUCGGGAGAAGGCACGCUGACAUGUAGGUGAAGCCCCUGCGGGUGGAGCUGAAGUCAGUCGAAGAUACCAGCUGGCUGCAACUGUUUAUUAAAAACACAGCACUGUGCAAACACGAAAGUGGACGUAUACGGUGUGACGCCUGCCCGGUGCCGGAAGGUUAAUUGAUGGGGUUAUCGCAAGAGAAGCUCCUGAUCGAAGCCCCGGUAAACGGCGGCCGUAACUAUAACGGUCCUAAGGUAGCGAAAUUCCUUGUCGGGUAAGUUCCGACCUGCACGAAUGGCGUAAUGAUGGCCAGGCUGUCUCCACCCGAGACUCAGUGAAAUUGAACUCGCUGUGAAGAUGCAGUGUACCCGCGGCAAGACGGAAAGACCCCGUGAACCUUUACUACAGCUUGACACUGAACAUUGAGCCUUGAUGUGUAGGAUAGGUGGGAGGCUUUGAAGCGUGGACGCCAGUCUGCGUGGAGCCGACCUUGAAAUACCACCCUUUAAUGUUUGAUGUUCUAACCUGGCGCCGUGAUCCGGCGUGGGGACAGUGUCUGGUGGGUAGUUUGACUGGGGCGGUCUCCUCCCAAAGUGUAACGGAGGAGCACGAAGGUCAGCUAAUCCUGGUCGGACAUCAGGAGGUUAGUGCAAUGGCAUAAGCUGGCUUGACUGCGAGAGUGACGGCUCGAGCAGGUGCGAAAGCAGGUCAUAGUGAUCCGGUGGUUCUGUAUGGAAGGGCCAUCGCUCAACGGAUAAAAGGUACUCCGGGGAUAACAGGCUGAUACCGCCCAAGAGUUCAUAUCGACGGCGGUGUUUGGCACCUCGAUGUCGGCUCAUCACAUCCUGGGGCUGAAGUAGGUCCCAAGGGUAUGGCUGUUCGCCAUUUAAAGUGGUACGCGAGCUGGGUUUAGAACGUCGUGAGACAGUUCGGUCCCUAUCUGCCGUGGGCGCUGGAGAAUUGAGGGGGGCUGCUCCCAGUACGAGAGGACCGGAGUGGACGCAUCACUGGUGUUCGGGUUGUCAUGCCAAUGGCACUGCCCGGUAGCUAAAUGCGGAAGAGAUAAGUGCUGAAAGCAUCUAAGCACGAAACUUGCCCCGAGAUGAGUUCUCCCUGAGACUAUAAGUCUCCUGAAGGAACGUUGAAGACGACGACGUUGAUAGGCCGGGUGUGUAAGCGCAGCGAUGCGUUGAGCUAACCGGUACUAAUGAACCGUGAGGCUUAACCUU